UACGUAGGGUGCAAGCGUUGUCCGGAAUUAUUGGGCGUAAAGAGCCUCGUAGGCGGUCUGUCGCGUCUGCUGUGAAAACCUAGGGCUUAACUCUGGGCGUGCAGUGGGUACGGGCAGGCUAGAGUGCGGUAGGGGAGACUGGAAUUCCUGGUGUAGCGGUGAAAUGCGCAGAUAUCAGGAGGAACACCGGUGGCGAAGGCGGGUCUCUGGGCCGUAACUGACGCUGAGGAGCGAAAGCAUGGGGAGCGAACAGG
rnacentral:rRNA from 1 species